GGCCCUCUCACAUGGAUCUAGCCACCAUACUGUGAGGAAGCCAAAGCUAUGUGGAGAAGCUACAUACAGAUAUUCUGGCCAAGAGUCUCAGCUAAGCUCCCAGCCAACAGCCAGUACUGGCUGCCAGAGCUGCAAAGGAGCCUGGGAAGGUGAGCCUCUUGUCUGGGGCUAAGACGUUAUCACCACGAACAAAAUUGGUAUAUUGAAGCAACGAGGAAGAGGAAGAUGCCAUACCCUUCCCCCUACAAUCUUCCCAGGUGGCACAGGACCCCCAGGGCCCCUUCCCAACAACCCCAGGAA
rnacentral:lncRNA from 1 species